UACGUAGGGGGCAAGCGUUAUCCGGAUUUACUGGGUGUAAAGGGGGCGCAGACGGCGAUGCAAGCCAGGAGUGAAAGCCCGGGGCCCAACCCCGGGACUGCUCUUGGAACUGCGUGGCUGGAGUACAGGAGGGGCAGGCGGAAUUCCUGGUGUAGCGGUGAAAUGCGUAGAUAUUAGGAGGAACACCAGUGGCGAAGGCGGCUUACUGGACAGUAACUGACGUUGAGGCUCGAAAGCGUGGGGAGCAAACAGG
rnacentral:rRNA from 1 species